rnacentral:tRNA from 1 species
GCUGACGUAGCUCAACUGGUAGAGCAGCUGCCUUGUAAGCAGCAGGUUAAGGGUUCGAGUCCCUUCGUCAGCUCCU